CACGGACCGCACGAACGUUAUUCGGUAUCGCUGGGCUUAAAGGGUGCGUAGGCGGCUUUGCAAGUUGGGUGUGAAAGCCCUCGGCUCAACCGAGGAAUUGCGCUCAAUACUGCCGAGCUCGAGAGAGACAGAGGUAAGCGGAACUAAUGGUGGAGCGGUGAAAUGCGUUGAUAUCAUUAGGAACACCGGUGGCGAAGGCGGCUUACUGGGGUCUCUUCUUGACGCUGAG
rnacentral:rRNA from 1 species